rnacentral:rRNA from 1 species
CAGUAGCCGCGGUAAUACGUAGGGUGCGAGCGUUAAUCGGAAUUACUGGGCGUAAAGCGUGCGCAGGCGGUUGUGUAAGACAGGUGUGAAAUCCCCGGGCUUAACCUGGGAACUGCGCUUGUGACUGCACAGCUAGAGUAUGGCAGAGGGGGGUGGAAUUCCACGUGUAGCAGUGAAAUGCGUUGAGAUCGGAAAGAACACCAACGGCGAAAGCACUCUGCUGGGCCGACACUGACACUGAGAGACGAAAGCUAGGGGAGCAAAUGGGAUUAGAUACCCCAGUAGUCCCUGUCUCUUAUAA